CGACUGAUUGGAUGCGAGGGCUUCACCGCCUAUCAAGUCCAGACAAACUCCGAAUGCACACAGGCUAAGCCCGGGAGUGAGGGCGUGGGUGCUAAGGUCCACGCCCGAGAGGAGAAGAAUCCUGACCACCGGCUAAGGCCCCGAAAUAUAGGCUAAGUUAAACUAACGAAGUGUGGUCCCCGUGACAGCUAGGAUGUUGGCUUGGAAGCAGCCAUUCAUUCAAAGAGUGCGUAACAGCUCACUAGUCGAGGGACUGUGCAUGGAUAAUAAUCGGGUAUAAAGUCUAUUGCCGAAGCUGUGGGAUAUCUAAUGAUAUCGGUAGGGGAGCAUUCAUGCGGCCUUGAAGAUAGAGGAUAACCUCUGUUGGAGCUUCAUGAAAAGCAAAUGUAGGUAUAAGUAACGAUAAAGAGUGUGAGAUGCACUCUCGCCGAAAGACUAAGGUUUCCAGGGCAACGUUAAUCGUCCCUGGGUCAGUCGGGACCUAAGGUUCAACCUAAUGGUGAUGCCGAUGGCAGAAACGGUUAAUAUUCCGUUACUAUCUUUGUUGGCGAUGUGGAGACGGAGGAGUGACACUUCCGCGAGCUGACGGAAUAGCUCGUUAAAGAUUGUAGGUAAUGAGGAUGGCAGGCAAAUCCACCAUCCGAGCUGAAAGUCGAUAGUAUACAGCGUCUUCGGACAAUGUAAUAGUGAAGGUAAUCCUACUCCCGAGAAAAUCCGCUAAGCUUAACAACAAAGAUACCCGUACCGUAAACGGACACACGUAGUCGGGUAGAAUAUACUAAGGCGCUUGGAAGAUUCAUGGUUAAGGAACUAGGCAAAUUGACCCCGUAACUUCGGAAUAAGGGGUCCUCACAGUAAUGUGAGGCGCAGAGAAUCGGCCCAGGCAACUGUUUAACAAAAACACAGGGCUGUGCAAAAUCGAAAGAUGCAGUAUACAGUCUGACACCUGCCCGGUGCUGGAAGGUUAAGAGGAGAGCUUAGACGUAAGUCGAAGGUUUGAAUUGAAGCCCCAGUAAACGGCGGCCGUAACAAUAACGGUCCUAAGGUAGCGAAAUUCCUUGUCGGGUAAGUUCCGACCUGCACGAAUGGUGUAAUGAUCUGGGCACUGUCUCAACCAUGAUUCCAGUGAAAUUGUAGUAUCGGUGAAGAUGCCGAUUACCCGCGAUGGGACGAAAAGACCCCGUGAACCUUUACUAUAGCUUAACGUUGUAAUUGGGCAGUCGAUGUGUAGGAUAGGUCGGAGGCUUUGAAGCAGGCACGCCAGUGUUUGUGGAGCCGCUGUUGAAAUACGACCCUUUGGCUGUCUGGUUCCUAACUCUCAGAUGAGAGGACCGCGUUUGGUGGGUAGUUUGACUGGGGUGGUCGCCUCCAAAAGCGUAACG
rnacentral:rRNA from 1 species